rnacentral:rRNA from 1 species
GAUGAACGCUGGCGGCGUGCCUAAUACAUGCAAGUCGAGCGAACGGACGAGAAGCUUGCUUCUCUGAUGUUAGCGGCGGACGUGUGAGUAACACGUGGAUAACCUACCUAUAAGACUGGGAUAACUUCGGGAAACCGGAGCUAAUACCGGAUAAUAUUUUGAACCGCAUGGUUCAAAAGUGAAAGACGGUCUUGCUGUCACUUAUAGAUGGAUCCGCGCUGCAUUAGCUAGUUGGUAAGGUAACGGCUUACCAAGGCAACGAUGCAUAGCCGACCUGAGAGGGGGAUCGGCCACACUGGAACUGAGACGCGGUCCAGACUCCUACGGGAGGCAGCAGUAGGGAAUCUUCCGCAAUGGGCGAAAGCCUGACGGAGCAACGCCGCGUGAGUGAUGAAGGUCUUCGGAUCGUAAAACUCUGUUAUUAGGGAAGAACAUAUGUGUAAGUAACUGUGCACAUCUUGACGGUACCUAAUCAGAAAGCCACGGCUAACUACGUG